UUGGACCUUGGAGCUCCUGUGCUCAUGCAUGCAGAUGAAGUGUUCUACCAGGGAGCUAUACUCUUGGUUGUAAAAGGCAAAGGCUGAUGGGAAACAGACAGUGAGGGCACAUUGAAGUUCAUGUCACCGCCUCUUCCCAUGGAUGGCCGAGUACCCAUGUCAUUCUGUGCUGAAAGAAUGUGCUUACAGGCUCAGUAUGGAACUGCCCUAUGGGAGACUAUAUUUGCUCUCUUGUUGCCAAGUGAGGCCAAGGACAUUGAAAAAUGACCCUAUUAUAACUUCUGAUAAAAGCAGCAGCUACUUAGAGGAUCAACCAAUAAACAUCCGAAGAAGACAAAUGGCUCCAAGAAGAAGACUGAUGAUUGAUGAGAAGACGUGUCUUCAUGAUCCAAGGAGAUGGCUCAGAAGAAACAGCGACUCACUGCCAGGCCUGA